UUCAACGGCCGCGGUACCCUAACCGUGCAAAGGUAGCACAAUCACUUGUUCUUUAAAUAAGGACUAGUAUGAAUGGCACCACGAAGACUAUACUGUCUCCUUUCUGAAAUCAGUGAAACUGAUCUUCCCGUGAAGAAGCGGGAAUCAUUAUAUAAGACGAGAAGACCCCAUGAAGCUUCAAAUUAAAUAUUAACUGCCACUUAAUACCACCCUAACCUAGCAGAUCUAAUUAUUAAUUUUAGGUUGGGGUGACCACGGAGUAAAACAAAACCUCCUCAAUGAAUAGGACUAAAUCCCUAUUCAAGAACAACAAUUCUAACAAUCAACACAUUGACAUAACUUGACCCAAAUUUUUGAUCAAUGAACCAAGUUACUCUGGGGAUAACAGCGCAAUCCAUUUCAAGAGCCCAUAUCGACAAAUGGGUUUACGACCUCGAUGUUGGAUCAGGGUAUCCCAGUGGUGCAGCCGCUACUAAAGGUUCGUUUGUU
rnacentral:rRNA from 1 species